UUGGUGUUUUGCCCCAACUGUGAACGUAGUUACAGAAGCACCAACGCACUUAGGGUACACAUGAAGAGCAGAUGUGAACAAAAUGGCGUAGAAUGUCCAAAAUGUAAGAAAAUAUACAGAAACGAAAGCACCAUGAAAAGCCAUUUGUACCAAGAUUGCACCAAAUCCUAUAAAUGCAACUUUUGUGAAUACUUUUGUAAAAGGAGGCACUCCCUUAAAGUUCAUUGUUACGUUAAGCAUAAGUACGUGUUACCUUCACGGUAUAACAAAUGAUUGUUACGCUAAUAACGUUUAAUAAAAAAAAUAUUUAAAAAG